AGUGAACGCUGGCGGUAGGCCUAUCACAUGCAAGUCGAACGGCAGCACAGUAAGAGCUUGCUCUUACGGGUGGCGAGUGGCGGACGGGUGAGGAAUACAUCGGAAUCUACUUUUUCGUGGGGGAUAACGUAGGGAAACUUACGCUAAUACCGCAUACGACCUACGGGUGAAAGCAGGGGAUCUUCGGACCUUGCGCGAUUGAAUGAGCCGAUGUCGGAUUAGCUAGUUGGCGGGGUAAAGGCCCACCAAGGCGACGAUCCGUAGCUGGUCUGAGAGGAUGAUCAGCCACACUGGAACUGAGACACGGUCCAGACUCCUACGGGAGGCAGCAGUGGGGAAUAUUGGACAAUGGGCGCAAGCCUGACCCAGCCAUACCGCGUGGGUGAAGAAGGCCUUCGGGUUGUAAAGCCCUUUUGUUGGGAAAGAAAAGCAGCAGGUUAAUACCCCGCUGUUCUGACGGUACCCAAAGAAUAAGCACCGGCUAACUUCGUG
rnacentral:rRNA from 1 species